rnacentral:rRNA from 1 species
UAAACUCUUGUUGUUGAGGAAGAUAAUGACGGUACUCAACAAGGAAGUGACGGCUAACUACGUGCCAGCAGCCGCGGUAAAACGUAGGUCACAAGCGUUGUCCGGAAUUACUGGGUGUAAAGGGAGCGCAGGCGGGAAGACAAGUUGGAAGUGAAAUCUAUGGGCUCAACCCAUAAACUGCUUUCAAAACUGUUUUUCUUGAGUAGUGCAGAGGUAGGCGGAAUUCCCGGUGUAGCGGUGGAAUGCGUAGAUAUCGGGAGGAACACCAGUGGCGAAGGCGGCCUACUGGGCACCAACUGACGCUGAGGCUCGAAAGUGUGGGUAGCAAACAGGAUUAGAUACCCUGGUAGUCCACACCGUAAACGAUGAUUACUAGGUGUUGGAGGAUUGACCCCUUCAGUGCCGCAGUUAACACAAUAAGUAAUCCACCUGGGGAGUACGACCGCAAGGUUGAAACUCAAAGGAAUUGACGGGGGCCCGCACAAGCAGUGGAGUAUGUGGUUUAAUUCGACGCAACGCGAAGAACCUUACCAAGUCUUGACAUCCUGUGACGAUGCUAGAAAUAGUAUUUUCCUUCGGGACGCAGAGACAGGUGGUGCAUGGUUGUCGUCAGCUCGUGUCGUGAGAUGUUGGGUUAAGUCCCGCAACGAGCGCAACCCUUAUGGUCAGUUACUACGCAAGAGGACUCUGGCCAGACGGCCGUUGACAAA